rnacentral:lncRNA from 1 species
UGAAUUUUAUUGAUUGUAAAAGAGAGAUGUACACUGUAUAUUUAUACAAGAGUGUUAACUUGAAGAAUAAGCUAACUAACUUAACUAACUAUAGCUUAACAAACUAAAACAUAUUUAUCACAUGUCAAAUUAAAAAAGGCUCUGCUGAAAUCCUUUCUUCUAGAAGAAAAAUGCACAUGCUCAUAUCAAAGGAAACAAUGCCAAUGGAUUUGCCAAGGAACAAAUUAUGUCUGCACCAAUUGAUGCAGACUUGAUGCGCCAAUCAGGCAUCACUGAUGCGCCAACCUGCAUAACUGUCUCGGUCAGAAACUCUUCUGAUGCGCCAAUGCAUGUCUGAUGCGCCAAGGCCUGUCUCGGAUAAGCUCAGCAUGAUGCACCAAGUCCUGGAAUCCUGAUUCGGUCAAGAUAAAUGUUGGUGCGUAUGACCGAUGUGGUGACACGGUCACGAUGUCCAGCCACCUCGGUCAGAAUUAAAAACUGGCUUGGCCAUGACUCGAG